rnacentral:rRNA from 1 species
GAUGAACGCUGGCGGCAUGCCUAAUACAUGCAAGUCGGACGAGGAUGUUUCUACAUCCUAGUGGCGAACGGGUGAGUAACACGUAGGGAACCUGCCCCUAAGACGAGGAUAACUACUGGAAACGGUAAGCUAAUACUGGAUAGGAUAAGUUGACGCAUGUUGGCUUAUUUAAAGGUGCCUAUAAAGCACCGCUUAGGGAUGGCCCUGCGGCGCAUUAGCUAGUUGGUGGGGUAACGGCCUACCAAGGCGACGAUCCGUAGCGGGUCUGAGAGGAUGAUCCGCCACACUGGGACUGAGACACGGCCCAGACUCCUACGGGAGGCAGCAGUGGGGAAUUUUGGACAAUGGGCGCAAGCCUGAUCCAGCCAUGCCGCGUGAGUGAAGAAGGCCUUCGGGUUGUAAAGCUCUUUCAGGUGGAAAGAAAACGCAUGGGUCAAUACCCUGUGUGGAUGACGGUACCAUCAGAAGAAGCACCGGCUAACUACGUG